AGCAGCCGCGGUAAUUCCAGCUCCAAUAGCGUAUAUUAAAGUUGUUGCAGUUAAAAAGCUCGUAGUUGAAUUUCGAGAUCAAUUUGUCGGUCGUGCCUCGGUACGUACUGGCGUUAUUGAUUUCUCCCUUCUGAAGAACCGCGAUGUCAUUAAUUUGGUGUCGUGGGGAAUCAGGACUGUUACUUUAGAAAAAAUUAGAGUGUUUAAAGCAGGCGCACGCUUGAAUACAUUAGCAUGGAAUAAUGAAAUAGGACGUUUGAUUCUAUUUUGUUGGUUUCUAGGAUCGACGUAAUGAUUAAUAGGGAUAGUUGGGGGCAUUAGUAUUCAAUUGUCAGAGGUGAAAUUCUUGGAUUUAUUGAAGACUAACUACUGCGAAAGCAUUUGCCAAGGAUGUUUUCAUUAAUCAAGAACGAAAGUUAGGGGAUCGAAGACGAUCAGAUACCGUCGUAGUCUUAACCAUAAACUAUGC
rnacentral:rRNA from 1 species